rnacentral:rRNA from 1 species
CCUACGGGAGGCAGCAGUGAGGAAUAUUGCACAAUGGGGGAAACCCUGAUGCAGCGACGCCGCGUGAGUGAAGAAGUAAUUCGUUAUGUAAAGCUCUAUAUGCAGGGAAGAAAAUGACGGUACCUGAGUAAGAAGCCCCGGCUAACUACGUGCCAGCAGCAGCGGUAAUACGUAGGGGGCAGGCGUUAUCCGGAUUUACUGGGUGUAAAGGGAGCGUAGACGGCAGUGCAAGUCUUGAGUGAAAGGCGGGGGCUCAACCCCCGGACUGCUCUGGAAACUGUACGGCUGGAGUGCAGGAGAGGUAGGUGGAAUUCGUGGUGUAGCGGUGAAAUGCUGAGAUAUCACGAAGAACACCAGUGGCGAAGGCGGCUUACUGGACUGUAACUGACGUUGAGGCUCGAAAGCGUGGGGAGCAAACAGGAUUAGAUACCCUUGUAGUC